rnacentral:rRNA from 1 species
GUCUAUGGCCAUGCCACCCUGAACAAACCCAAUCCCGUCUGAUCUCAGAAGCUAAGCAGGGUCGGACCUGGUUAGUACUUGGAUGUGAGACCACCUAGGAAGACCAAGUGCUGUAGGCA